UGCAAGUCGACGGUAGCACAGAGAGCUUGCUCUCGGGUGACGAGUGGCGGACGGGUGAGUAAUGUCUGGGAAACUGCCUGAUGGAGGGGGAUAACUACUGGAAACGGUAGCUAAUACCGCAUAACGUCGCAAGACCAAAGAGGGGGACCUUCGGGCCUCUUGCCAUCAGAUGUGCCCAGAUGGGAUUAGCUAGUAGGUGGGGUAACGGCUCACCUAGGCGACGAUCCCUAGCUGGUCUGAGAGGAUGACCAGCCACACUGGAACUGAGACACGGUCCAGACUCCUACGGGAGGCAGCAGUGGGGAAUAUUGCACAAUGGGCGCAAGCCUGAUGCAGCCAUGCCGCGUGUAUGAAGAAGGCCUUCGGGUUGUAAAGUACUUUCAGCGGGGAGGAAGGCGAUAAGGUUAAUAACCUUGUCGAUUGACGUUACCCGCAGAAGAAGCACCGGCUAACUCCGUGCCAGCAGCCGCGGUAAUACGGAGGGUGCAAGCGUUAAUCGGAAUUACUGGGCGUAAAGCGCACGCAGGCGGUCUGUCAAGUCGGAUGUGAAAUCCCCGGGCUCAACCUGGGAACUGCAUUCGAAACUGGCAGGCUGGAGUCUUGUAGAGGGGGGUAGAAUUCCAGGUGUAGCGGUGAAAUGCGUAGAGAUCUGGAGGAAUACCGGCGGCGAGGCAGCCCCCCGGUAAAAAGACUGACGCUCAGGUGCUAAAGCGUGGGGAGCAAA
rnacentral:rRNA from 1 species